rnacentral:piRNA from 1 species
GAUGGCGGAUUAAGUCAACUCUGUUAAUCU